CUAUGAUCCAAUCGUGAUACAUUUUUCAGUCUUUCCACAUAGGAAAUCAAUCCUUUAAAAAGUGUUUGCAGCCAGGUGUGCGCCCGUGCAUCUGUAAUCUCAGCAAGGAAGAACUGAAGCAGAGGAAUCCGUAGUUCAAGGCUGUUCUGGACUACAAGAUGAGGUCGAUGGAACGAGAUUUAAAAACACAUCUUUACCAUCUACCGUUUACCAUUAGUUUUUCAAACUUGUUGCAUCGCUUCCCUACUGAAUGCUGCAGAGCCAGAGGAAAGGGCUGUGUGGCCCCCAGAAGGGACAGCCCUGCCCAGUGCAGCCUCUCCACUCUGGUUCCUCUCAUGAUAUCAUAUGCUUCCCUCGUCACGUGACUUCAGUAUAUUCAGCAGUGGCUACAGGGUGAGGAGUUCACGCCGGAGCGCAGGUUCAAGCUCAGGUACUUAACACAGGAAGAAGCUUUGACCCAGGGUGAGCCAUCACGGAGACAAGGGGACACGCACGGUACGAGCCUAGCACAUGCCAGACACUGUUUUAAGUGCCGUAUUAUCUCAUUUGAUCCUCUCAGCACCUCAGCGACAAUGCUUCCGCUGUGUCCUUCAUUUUACAGAAGAGGAUCUUGACAGAGACGUUAAGUGAUUAUCACACAGAUGGUGUGAAGGAGAUGAGGAAAAGAAGGCCCAGGGAAGCCUAACAGCUUUUUAAAAAACAAAAAACUAUCAAUUGAGAAAAGGCAUUUAUUUAUGUAUGUACGCAUGUGUGUAUGCAUGUAUGUAUGUGAGCCUGAGUGAGGUUUUGUGCACCAUAUGUAUUCAAGAGGCUGCAGAGGCAAGGAGGAAGCAUGAGAUCCCUUGAAACUGGACUAACAGACAGUUGUGAGUCACCAUAUGGACACUGGAAACUAAAAUAAGUCCUUUGCCAAAGAGGUGCAUACUUUUAAUCCCUGAGGCACCUUUUCAGCCCCCCCACCCCCCCCGACAGCUAUCUUUAAGUUACCAAAUUGGAAAUAAAAAGUUGUUCUAUGGAUAAUCAAAGCCUAAUGUUUGGACCAAGUGAAGGCUGGCUGUAGUGAGCAAAUUUCUGGUUCCUACGGAGUCACUUUCUAAGAAUGAGACAUGUCUUAGAAAGAAGUAAGUGACCUUGAGAGGUCGUGAGGCUCCAGUGGAUGAGUACUGGCGGAGGGGUGUGCAAGGAGAGUCGGCCAUUUGAUCACUUAGAUUGGUCACCCUCAAGGCCAUUUGAUCACUUAGAUUGGUCACCCUCAGGGACUCUGAGUUAAAUCACCCUCUGACUGCAUCAGAUGGCAUUCUGAAGUGGUAGUGGUGAAUGAGUCCCAGGUUAUUAGCAUUACAAAAACAACCACAUCCAGACUGAAGGGUCAAUUCACUCGUAAGAAGUGACUCAUAAUUCACUCCUAAGUUUAAUGACUUUAAACUCCAUGUUUUAUAUUUUACGAAGCACUGGAAGAGAGGAAUUUGAAGGCUUCAAACUCAAAGAUUACCCAUCUAAGGAAAUGGAAAUACCAAUGUCUCGAGUCAAUCAUUAUAAAAGCAACAGCUGCGUUCAGGCAGAGGUAAGGCAGAGCAGCGCUUGAGGGUUCCAGAUCUAGAGCACACGGGCUCAAAUGUCACUCCCGCAUGUGUGACCUUGGCAAGUGCCAUGGCCUCCUCAGGCCCGUUUCCUCGCCUGCAAACAGAUGUGUUUAAAAGGAAUCUAUCGCAGUUUUAACCCCGUGACGAUGUGGCCAUGAGAGCACAGGACAAAGCCAGAACAUGGCAGGUAAUGGAUAUUUAUUGUCAUUAUUCCAGAGAAUGUCUAUGAAGUUUAAGACACUCGAAUUCCAUAAAAAGAAAAUACAUUGUAAUUUUACUAAUUGUCACACAUUGCUACAUUGUUGCGAAAAGGAGAAAAGUGGAUACACUGUCAGCGUGUAACACAAAUGGGAAUCAAGAAAGAACUAGAACAAGAUGGACUUGAACUCCGACUUUUGGAAAGUCUUUUAGGGUUCAUCUGUUUGACUAUAACCAACAAGUAUCUUACUGAGCAUUGCAAUUGUGUUUGGCUAGAGAAAGAGAGCUGUGAGCAGCGUGUUAUAAGGUCCGUGACCGUCAGCAGUUUCCAGUCUAGCUGCGCGUGGAUAGAAAGGCGCUCUUACAAAUCCUAGGA